CUCCUGAAGGAACGUUGAAGACGACGACGUUGAUAGGUCGGGUGUGUAAGCGCAGCGAUGCGUUGAGCUAACCGAUACUAAUGAACCGUGAGGCUUAACCUUACAACGCCGAAGGUGUUU
rnacentral:rRNA from 5 species